GGGAAGCCAAGAGAUGACAAGGUGAGAGGGACAUUACUGACACAGAGCACUGUGCUGCCUGUCACUAAUAGGCUUAAUACAUACUAAUGCACAUACUAACCAUCUUCUUUAAAGUGCUCAUUCACUUUACAGCUGAGACAUGAGACAAUCAUGCUGUGGCUAGUUGAACCGUUGUUAAAUUUUAAAUGGCAGGACUGGGGCUGUGACUCUAAGGACUGGUCUGAUUCUGUGUUCAAUAUGUU